CCCUUAGAUGUUCGGGGCCGCACGCGCGCUACACUGAAGGAAUCAGCACGUCUUUCUCCUUGUCCGAAAGGACUGGGUAACCCGCUGAACCUCCUUCGUGCUAGGGAUUGGGGCUUGUAAUUCUUCCCCAUGAACGCGGAAUUCCCAGUAAGCGCGAGUCAUAAGCUCGCGUUGAUUACGUCCCUGCCCUUUGUACACACCGCCCGUCGCUACUACCGAUUGGAUGGUUUAGUGAGAUCCUCGGAUUGGUCCCGGCGCGGCCUCUGGUCGUGCCGGAGUGCCGAAAAGAAUGUCGAACUUGAUCAUCUAGAGGAAGUAAAAGUCGUAACA
rnacentral:rRNA from 1 species